rnacentral:rRNA from 1 species
UACGUAGGGGGCGAGCGUUGUCCGGAUUUAUUGGGCGUAAAGAGCGUGUAGGCGGCCAGGUAGGUCAGCUGUGAAAACUCGAGGCUCAACCACGAGAUGUCGGCUGAAACCAUCUGGCUAGAGUCCGGAAGAGGAGAAUGGAAUUCCCGGUGUAGCGGUGAAAUGCGCAGAUAUCGGGAAGAACACCCGUGGCAAAGGCGGUUCUCUGGGACGGUACUGACGCUGAGACGCGAAAGCGUGGGGAGCGAACAGG